CGUGUAGGCUGCUCGGAAGGUCGGAUGUGAAAGCCCUGGGCUUAACCUAGGAAGUGCAUUCGAAACUUCCGAGCUGGAGUUCUGGAGAGGAAGGCGGAAUUCUCGGUGUAGAGGUGAAAUUCGUAGAUAUCGAGAGGAACACCGGUGGCGAAGGCGGCCUUCUGGACAGUGACUGACGCUGAGACGCGAAAGCGUGGGAGCAAACA
rnacentral:rRNA from 1 species